rnacentral:rRNA from 1 species
GCAUAUCAAUAAGCGGAGGAAAAGAAACCAACAGGGAUUGCCUUAGUAACGGCGAGUGAAGCGGCAACAGCUCAAAUUUGAAAUCUGGCUCUUUCAGAGUCCGAGUUGUAAUUUGCAGAGGGCGCUUUGGCUUUGGCAGCGGUCCAAGUUCCUUGGAACAGGACGUCACAGAGGGUGAGAAUCCCGUACGUGGUCGCUAGCUAUUGCCGUGUAAAGCCCCUUCGACGAGUCGAGUUGUUUGGGAAUGCAGCUCUAAAUGGGAGGUAAAUUUCUUCUAAAGCUAAAUAUUGGCCAGAGACCGAUAGCGCACAAGUAGAGUGAUCGAAAGAUGAAAAGCACUUUGGAAAGAGAGUCAAACAGCACGUGAAAUUGUUGAAAGGGAAGCGCUUGCAGCCAGACUUGCUUGCAGUUGCUCAUCCGGGCUUUUGCCCGGUGCACUCUUCUGCAGGCAGGCCAGCAUCAGUUUGGGCGGUGGGAUAAAGGUCUCUGACACGUUCCUUCCUUCGGGUUGGCCAUAUAGGGGAGACGUCAUACCACCAGCCUGGACUGAGGUCCGCGCAUCUGCUAGGAUGCUGGCGUAAUGGCUGUAAGCGGCCCGUCUUGAAACACGGACCAAGGAGUCUAACAUCUAUGCGAGUGUUUGGGUGUCAAGCCCGAGCGCGUAAUGAAAGUGAACGGAGGUGGGAACCCGCAAGGGCGCACCAUCGACCGAUCCUGAAGUUUACGGAAGGAUUUGAGUAAGAGCAUGGCUGUUGGGACCCGAAAGAUGGUGAACUAUGCUUGAAUAGGGUGAAGCCAGAGGAAACUCUGGUGGAGGCUCGCAGCGGUUCUGACGUGCAAAUCGAUCGUCAAAUUUGGGCAUAGGGGCGAAAGACUAAUCGAACUAUCUAGUAGCUGGUUUCCUGCCGAAGUUCCCUCA